UACAGAGGUCUCAAGCGUUGUUCGGAUUCAUUGGGCGUAAAGGGCGCGUAGGCUGCGGGGCAAGUCGGGUGUGAAAUCUCAGAGCUCAACUCUGAAACUGCACUCGAUACUGCUUUGCUUGAGGACUGGAGAGGAGAUUGGAAUUCACGGUGUAGCAGUGAAAUGCGUAGAUAUCGUGAGGAAGACCAGUGGCGAAGGCGGGUCUCUGGACAGUUCCUGACGCUGAGGCACGAAGGUCAGGGGAGCAAACGGG
rnacentral:rRNA from 1 species